CAACAACAACAACAAACCCAGUGUAUUCCCACUUAGUGGGGUCUGAGGGGGUAAGAUGUACGCAGUCCAUACCUCUACCUCUGAUGAAGUAGAAAGGCUGUUUCCGAAAGACCCCCGGCUCAAGGCACAAGAUAUCACACAAACACAUAGUAAAGCACAGAAGCAGAUGACAUAACAUAAAUACGACACCCAUAAGGAAUAUAAAACAGAGGAAAGCAGAGGAAAGCACACAGAUUCGUAAUAAGCAUGGAACACUGAAUACGGAAUCAUAACGGGAAUAAAAAAUAAAAAAAACCCCACCAAGUAAUUCCCAACACUAGCGACCCA
rnacentral:lncRNA from 1 species